rnacentral:rRNA from 1 species
CAAUAGCGUAUAUUAAAGUUGUUGCAGUUAAGAAGCUCGUAGUUGGAUUUCUGAUCGAGACAUCAGGUCGGGUCCGAGAGGAUCAUGUACUUUGAUUUGUUUUGAUCAUCCUUGGGGAGAGCAUUUCUGGCAUUCAGUUGUCGGGAUUGGGAUCCUCAUCGUUUACUGUGAAAAAAUUAGAGUGUUCAAAGCAGGCCUCGGCCUCUGAAUACAUUAGCAUGGAAUAAUAAGAUAGGACUUUGGUGGUCUAUUUUGUUGGUUUGCACGCCAAAGUAAUGAUUAAUAGGGAUAGUUGGGGGUAUUCGUAUUCCGUUGUCAGAGGUGAAAUUCUUGGAUUUACGGAAGACGAACUACUGCGAAAGCAUUUACCAAGGAUGUUUUCAUUAA